AUUGAACGCUGGCGGAAUGCUUUACACAUGCAAGUCGAACGGCAGCACGGACUUCGGUCUGGUGGCGAGUGGCGAACGGGUGAGUAAUGUAUCGGAACGUGCCCAGUCGUGGGGGAUAACGUAGUGAAAAUUACGCUAAUACCGCAUACGAUCUAUGGAUGAAAGCGGGGGAUCGCAAGACCUCGCGCGAUUGGAGCGGCCGAUAUCAGAUUAGGUAGUUGGUGGGGUAAAGGCCCACCAAGCCAACGAUCUGUAGCUGGUCUGAGAGGACGACCAGCCGGACGGGAACUGAGACACGGGCCAGACUCCUACGGGAGGCAGCAGUGGGGAAUUUUGGACAAUGGGCGAAAGCCUGAUCCAGCCAUUCCGCGUGCAGGAUGAAGGCCCUCGGGUUGUAAACUGCUUUUGUACAGAACGAAAAGGUUUCUACUAAUACUAGGAGCUCAUGACGGUACUGUAAGAAUAAGCACCGGCUAACUACGUGCCAGCCGCCGCCGUAA
rnacentral:rRNA from 1 species